rnacentral:tRNA from 1 species
AGCAGUGUGGCUUAGUGGAAAGAGCCUGGAAUUGGGAGUCAGAAGUUGUGGGUUCUAAUCCCAGCUCUGCCA